CCCUAACAGAAGGGGGAAGACGACGCAGGAGAGAGAAAUGGCGAAGGGGGAGACCGAGAGGGAGCUUGGCACGCGCGAGAAAAGGCAGAAUCGUGAGGGAGGGAGGGAGGGAUAAGGUGAAAGAACGAAGGGGAGAGACUGGAUAAGUCGGAGAGGCAUUUUCGUUCGGUGCGGCGAAGCGUUUUUCUUUGCCACGGUACCGAUCCGAACUCAUAUUUAUUUUCUAUUCAUUCGAGAUGAGUUUCGGUUAAUCUUAUCUUAUUGAGAUGGAUUUCACCGUUUGAGCCGAAAUCUAAAUUAAAUUUAGAGUCAGUUGUUGAUUUUUGUUCACAAGGGUUGAGGUUCGAGAUCGUUUUUAACAUGGGGUUCUACAUGCGGUUUUCUACCCUAUUCUGAGCUCAGGCCUUGAUAUUUUGGCGCCUUUGUAGGUAAGUGUUCGGUGAAGAAGAUAUCUCAUGCAGUAAGCCGAGUCACUUCAUCUGAUAUCCGAGAAAGAUCAGGUGUAUUGUACCUGUCAUGCAAAUAAAUUUUGCAACCAGGAGCGGAGACAGGGAAUGCCUGCAAAAGUGGAAGGGCGAGAACAAAAUGGUAGACACUCGGUUGUUUUAAAAGGUAGUAGAGUUUCCACUUGGUUCGUCAAUGAGAUCUGAAUUUUCUAUUGCCGGGUAAGAAAUGCAGGAGUUAAAUCAAUGAAGAUCUCGUUAUGUUGUUGGUACAUUUUAAGUUGAAUUUUUUAAUGGCUUAUACAGAGAGUUAGGGUUAGGGUUAGGGUUCUUACAGUACUGAAUAAAAUUUUCAAUCAAUUCUACUCCUAUUUUUACUUC